rnacentral:rRNA from 1 species
UACGAAGGGGGCUGGCGUUGCUCGGAAUCACUGGGCGUAAAGGGCGCGUAGGCGGCGUUUUAAGUCGGGGGUGAAAGCCUGUGGCUCAACCACAGAAUGGCCUUCGAUACUGGGACGCUUGAGUAUGGUAGAGGUUGGUGGAACUGCGAGUGUAGAGGUGAAAUUCGUAGAUAUUCGCAAGAACACCGGUGGCGAAGGCGGCCAACUGGACCAUUACUGACGCUGAGGCGCGAAAGCGUGGGGAGCAAACAGG